UCCUUAGAUGUUCUGGGCCGCACGCGCGCUACACUGAUUCAUGCAACAAGUUUUGUCCUUGGCUGAUAGGCCUGGGUAAUCUUUGAACGUGAAUCGUGAUGGGGAUAGAUGAUUGCAAUUAUUCAUCUUCAACGAGGAAUUCCUAGUAAACGCAAGUCAUCAGCUUGCAUUGAUUACGUCCCUGCCCUUUGUACACACCGCCCGUCGCACCUACCGAUUGAAUGGUCCGGUGAAAUCUUCGGAUCUGAGAGAUGUCUGAUUAAUUUCGGACGCCUUUUGGAAAAGUUGUUUAAACCUUACCAUUUAGAGGAAGGUGAAGUCGUANCA
rnacentral:rRNA from 1 species